GACAGUAUAGCUCAGUGGUUGAGUGCAUGCUUAACAUGCAUGAGGUCCUGGGUUCAAUCCCUAGUUCCUCCA
rnacentral:tRNA from 1 species